ACUGAACCCAUAGGCGUUGAAAAGCCCCGGGAUGACUUGUGGAUAGGGGUGAAAGGCCAAUCAAACUUCGUGAUAGCUGGUUCUCUCCGAAAUAUAUUUAGGUAUAGCGUUGUGUCGUAAUAUAAGGGGGUAGAGCACUGAAUGGGCUAGGGCAUACACCAAUGUACCAAACCCUAUCAAACUCCGAAUACCUUAUAUGUAAUCACAGCAGUCAGGCGGCGAGUGAUAAAAUCCGUCGUCAAGAGGGAAACAACCCAGACUACCAGCUAAGGUCCCUAAAUCUUACUUAAGUGGAAAACGAUGUGAAGUUACUUAAACAACCAGGAGGUUGGCUUAGAAGCAGCCAUCCUUUAAAGAAAGCGUAAUAGCUCACUGGUCUAGUGAUUUUGCGCGGAAAAUAUAACGGGGCUAAAGUAAGUACCGAAGCUGUAGACUUGCGCACAACUUAGAUUAUUUAAGUUUAGAAUAUGAGAAACUAAGUUAUAUGUUUAGUUAUAUUUUUACUGAUUUUUAUAGAGUAAAGAUAGAAAUAAAACUUAGUAAAAUCAGUAAAAAUAUUCUUAGACUAAAGUUAAGUAGUUUAAGUUGUGUGCAAGUGGUAGGAGAGCGUUCUAUUUGCGUCGAAGGUAUACCGGUAAGGAGUGCUGGAGCGAAUAGAAGUGAGCAUGCAGGCAUGAGUAGCGAUAAUUAAUGUGAGAAUCAUUAACGCCGUAAACCCAAGGUUUCCUACGCGAUGCUCGUCAUCGUAGGGUUAGUCGGGUCCUAAGUCGAGUCCGAAAGGGGUAGACGAUGGCAAAUUGGUUAAUAUUCCAAUACCAACAUUAGUGUGCGAUGGAAGGACGCUUAGGGCUAAGGGGGCUAGCGGAUGGAAGUGCUAGUCUAAGGUCGUAGGAGGUUAUACAGGCAAAUCCGUAUAACAAUACUCCGAGAACUGAAAGGCUUUUUGAAGUCUUCGGAUGGAUAGAAGAACCCCUGAUGCCGUCGAGCCAAGAAAAGUUUCUAAGUUUAGCUAAUGUUGCCCGUACCGUAAACCGACACAGGUGGGUGGGAUGAGUAUUCUAAGGCGCGUGGAAGAACUCUCUUUAAGGAACUCUGCAAAAUAGCACCGUAUCUUCGGUAUAAGGUGUGGUUAGCUUUGUAUUAGGAUUUACUCCGAAAGCAAGGAAACUUACAACAAAGAGUCCCUCCCGACUGUUUACCAAAAACACAGCACUCUGCUAACUCGUAAGAGGAUGUAUAGGGUGUGACGCCUGCCCGGUGCUCGAAGGUUAAUUGAUGGGGUUAGCAUUAGCGAAGCUCUUGAUCGAAGCCCGAGUAAACGGCGGCCGUAACUAUAACGGUCCUAAGGUAGCGAAAUUCCUUGUCGGUUAAAUACCGACCUGCAUGAAUGGCGUAACGAGAUGGGAGCUGUCUCAAAGAGGGAUCCAGUGAAAUUGUAGUGGAGGUGAAAAUUCCUCCUACCCGCGGCAAGACGGAAAGACCCCGUGGACCUUUACUACAGCUUGACACUGCUACUUGGAUAAGAAUGUGCAGGAUAGGUGGGAGGCUUUGAGUAUAUGACGCCAGUUGUAUAUGAGCCAUUGUUGAGAUACCACUCUUUCUUAUUUGGGUAGCUAACCAGCUUGAGUUAUCCUCAAGUGGGACAAUGUCUGGUGGGUAGUUUGACUGGGGCGGUCGCCUCCCAAAUAAUAACGGAGGCUUACAAAGGUUGGCUCAGAACGGUUGGAAAUCGUUCGUAGAGUAUAAAGGUAUAAGCCAGCUUAACUGCAAGACAUACAAGUCAAGCAGAGACGAAAGUCGGUCUUAGUGAUCCGGUGGUUCUGUGUGGAAGGGCCAUCGCUCAAAGGAUAAAAGGUACCCCGGGGAUAACAGGCUGAUCUCCCCCAAGAGCUCACAUCGACGGGGAGGUUUGGCACCUCGAUGUCGGCUCAUCGCAUCCUGGGGCUGGAGCAGGUCCCAAGGGUAUGGCUGUUCGCCAUUUAAAGCGGUACGCGAGCUGGGUUCAGAACGUCGUGAGACAGUUCGGUCCCUAUCUGCCGUGGGCGUAAGAAGAUUGAAGAGAUUUGACCCUAGUACGAGAGGACCGGGUUGAACAAACCACUGGUGUAGCUGUUGUUCUGCCAAGAGCAUCGCAGCGUAGCUAAGUUUGGAAAGGAUAAACGCUGAAAGCAUCUAAGCGUGAAGCCAACUCUAAGAUGAAUCUUCUCUAAGCUCUCUAGAAGACUACUAGUUUGAUAGGCUGGGUGUGUAAUGGAUGAAAGUCCUUUAGCUGACCAGUACUAAUAGAGCGUUUGGCUUAUCUUUAAUAAAGCAU
rnacentral:rRNA from 1 species